rnacentral:rRNA from 1 species
GGUUCCUGUCCAACGUUAAUCGGGGCAGGGUGAGUCGACCCCUAAGGCGAGGCCGAAAGGCGUAGUCGAUGGGAAACAGGUUAAUAUUCCUGUACUUGGUGUUACUGCGAAGGGGGGACGGAGAAGGCUAUGUUAGCCGGGCGACGGUUGUCCCGGUUUAAGCAUGUAGGCGGAGGUUCCAGGUAAAUCCGGUACCUUAUUAACGCUGAGGUGUGAUGACGAGGCACUACGGUGCUGAAGUAACAAAUGCCCUGCUUCCAGGAAAAGCCUCUAAGCAUCAGGUAACAUCAAAUCGUACCCCAAACCGACACAGGUGGU